GCAGUGGUGGUUCAGUGGUAGAAGUCUCACCUUCCAUGUGGGAGACCUAGGUUCGAUACCCAGCCAGCGUA
rnacentral:tRNA from 1 species